GGCUUAAUAGUUUAAGGGAUAAGACACUAAAUUGCAAGUUUAGAGAUGUAAGGAGUACUUAGGCUU
rnacentral:tRNA from 1 species